AGGUUUAGAGAAAAGUACAAAUUUAGUUUACACAAGCUGCCAAUCAUCACAUUUAGUCACAUUCUGCCUUUUUUGCUAGUUUUCCAUAGCACUGGAUGACUCUGGAACUGAGAGUUUCCUCAGGGGUCCUGACACUUCUCUUUGUGACUCCACUCAAGAAGAGGACAAAGAUGAAAGUAUCCAUUCCUCUCAAACAUUCGGCUCAUCCAAUUCUCUGUCUGAAGAAAAGACUCAUCCCGCUAAUGACAAAUCACCUCUUAGACCCAAGAGUCCUGCAGGGGGCCGCUUUGACCCCCAUGAUUUUUAGAGAAAUAUGUUGGCAUUGUGACACUGCCAAACUAAGUCCAACAUAAAGCAGUAAAAAGGGGAUUUGAGUUCAAUCUGAUGGUUGUCGCCUGAUGAGCAACAGCAACUCUUUUUCUGAGGUCCUCAGAUUGUUCGUGCCAUGAUUCACUUCUACAAACAUGAUCAGACUUUGUUACAUCCCUGUUCUCUAAAUAAAACCGGGCACACACUGACA
ensembl:lncRNA